AUCACUUCUUGGCCUUUUGGCUAAGAUCAAGUAUAGUAUCUGUAUGUGUAGGAAAAGAACAUUUACCAUUUGUCCCUUGAGUCUCUAGAUAAUUAAAAUAUUUUUUAUUCAUU
ensembl:snRNA U2 U2 spliceosomal RNA